rnacentral:rRNA from 1 species
AGUGAACGCUGGCGGUAGGCCUAACACAUGCAAGUCGAACGGCAGCACAGUACGAGCGUGCUCUUACGGGUGGCGAGUGGCGGACGGGUGAGGAAUACAUCGGAAUCUACUUUUUCGUGGGGGAUCACGUAGGGAAACUUACGCUAAUACCGCAUACGACCUACGGGUGAGAGCAGGGGAUCUUCGGACCUUGCGCGGUUGAAUGAGCCGAUGUGGGAUUAGCUGGUUGGCGGGGUAAUUGCCCACCCAGGCGAGGAUCCGUAGCUGGUCUGAGAGGAUGGUCAGCCACACUGGAAGUGAGACACGGACCAGACUCCUACGGGAGGCAGCAGUCGGGAAUAGUGGACAAUGGGCGCAAGCCUGACCCAGCCAGACCGCGUGGGUGGAGGAGGCCUUCGGGUUGGAAAGCCCGCUUGUUGGGAAAGAAAAGCAGUAGGUUAAGACCACGCUGUUCUGACGGUAAUCAAUGAAUAAGCACCGGCUAACUACGUG